UAAGUAUGUGUUUCAUUAUAAAUUUCGGUGAUAGUAACCCGUUGAGUUUUUCGCCGGAUAUUCUCAGUGGGUCGCGAUUCCAAUCCGAUAGUAGAUUCUGCG